CCCAGCGCUGCCAUUGAGGAGCAUUUACUCAGUGAGUGGAAGAGGUUUGUUUGAAGCAGACCGCAAUGGAGAGACCAGCGCCCAGGGAAGCGAGGGAACAGCAGGCUCCUUCCAGCAGCACAUCGAGAUGAACAAGACAAUGUAAUAUUUGCUCAGUACAAAGCCAAGGGUGACCAGCUGCUUCUAAUAAGCAGCAGAAAAACACUUGAAGGAACAAGACAAAGUAACACUUCUUCAGUACAAAGCCAAGUGUGACCAGAUCCUUCUGACAAACGGCAGAAUGCUGUAAAUGAGGCUUUCAGCUGUCGAUGAGAGGCUUUCAAAAUGAACUGAGAUCAAGCCAGAAUAGCUGCCGGAUUGCGAUAGCAAGUGUGAAACUGGCUGAAGUCUGAUCAAGGACAAUAGGAACGGCAACUUUAAACUAUUGUUUAAAGUUCAAACGCGCUCACCCGGAAGAACGUUAUGUGAGGUUUUAUAAAUAUAACGGGGUGCACUUGUAAUGUGAAAGUGAAUUAAAUUCAAAGAAAAAUUAAAUUAUUUAUUCCUCUUUGUAAAACUUUUUUCCUAUUUCGUACAUGUUGGAGGGUUUUUCAAACUUGUCCCGGUGAGUAAUGAGCCCUAAAUUUCUCCCGUGGCAACGAAAAUAAAUGACACCGUAUUUGAGACCCACGAA